rnacentral:piRNA from 1 species
UAGGCUGGAAGGGAGGAUCCGGG